rnacentral:rRNA from 1 species
AUUGAACGCUGGCGGAAUGCUUUACACAUGCAAGUCGAACGGCAGCACGGACUUCGGUCUGGUGGCGAGUGGCGAACGGGUGAGUAACAUAUCGGAACGUAUCCAAUAAUGGGGGAUAACGAGUCGAAAGAUUCGCUAAUACCGCAUACGCCCUACGGGGGAAAGCUAGGGACCUUCGGGCCUGGCGUUGAUGGAGCGGCCGAUAUCUGAUUAGCUAGUUGGUGAGGUAAAGGCUCACCAAGGCGACGAUCAGUAGCUGGUCUGAGAGGACGACCAGCCACACUGGAACUGAGACACGGUCCAGACUCCUACGGGAGGCAGCAGUGGGGAAUUUUGGACAAUGGGCGCAAGCCUGAUCCAGCCAUUCCGCGUGAGCGAAGAAGGCCUUCGGGUUGUAAAGCUCUUUCGCAAGGGAAGAAAACUUAUCCUCUAACAUAGGAUGAGGUUGACGGUACCUUGAUAAGAAGCACCGGCUAACUACGUGCCAGCCGCCGCCGUAA